GUCUCCGUCAUCUCAGUUGGUAGAGCAUGAGACUCUUAAGCUCAGGGUUGUGGGUUCAAGCCCCACAUUGGGCA
rnacentral:tRNA from 1 species